GUAGUCGUGGCUAAGUGGUUAAGGCGAUGGACUACAAAUCCAUUGGGGUCUCCCUGCGCAGGUUCGAAUCUUGCUAACUACG